CCAGUCUUGGGUAUUUCUUCACAGCAGCAUGAGAACAGACUAAUACACUAGCCUUUUACAGCCUUGUGAGAUUUUUGGAGAAGCAGCACAGUGGUGGGUGAUCUGCUGGGCCUGGGGCUAGGGGAGACUGGCUGCACCUUCCUCUGGCUCCCUCUGCCUCCAGGGUGGGCUCCAGGUCUCCUUCAGGGAAUGCUGCUGGAAACUACCCAGCAAGGCCAAGUCCUGAUUUUACAGAUGGGCACGAUAUGUGUCUAAGGCGCUAUGGCCCGCGAGUGACAGAGCGAGGACUACAGCUUAGGUCGUUAGAGCUUUUUAAUUUUCCAUGCCAACCACCCCCACUGCCUUCAGAGAUGGAGUCAGGCAGAGAGUGCUAAGAGUCAGAGUGGAAAGGAGGACUUCUGCGCUGAGAACACAGAAGGUUCACCACCAGGAAUGCUGCCACAGUCUCAGGAGUAAUUUGCAUCAAUUCAAUAAACGUUUAUCUGGAAACAUCCAAGAGUCAGAGGAAGAGGAUCAUUCGGUGACAGCAACGUCAGAAUGAGAAUAGAAAACUGAGGGACGUGAGCGAAGAGGUGUUUACUGGGACAUAGCCCCUUUCAGGGUGGGAACCUUUAAUAGAAUGGAAUUCUAAAGAACCUGAAGUCUUCAGAAGUGUACAAGACUGGUGUUACUCAAUAUUUAGUGUUGCUUUUCCAAUUUGAAGCCAGGAUGCUGGAGGAAGAUCCAAGAUCCAGGGAAUAACUUUGAGUGAUUGUAACAGGAGAGAAGAGGGACUCCUGGAGGUCCACAUGAGUUGGUGUGUCCUUGCGACUACAGUAAUCACAUUUCCAGCUCUGCAAAUGUGAUGCUUUGAUAUCUGCUCUGCAUGGACAUACUGGAUGCAUAAUCUUCUGGACCACCCUGUCAUGUGCCUGAAUCACCUUGCAAUGGUUCUGGUCUCCUUCUCCCUACCUCCUCUUCUUGGAAGAAGUUCUGCGAGGGGAAAGCGCGAACGCAGUUCCCCAGUACCACAAAUGAUGCAGUCGAGUUUCCCACAUUUGGGGAAAUCGCAGGGGUCAGCACAUCUGGGGUGCAAUGGAUAAGCCUCGCCCUGGGAAAACCACCUUCGUGAUCAUGGUUUCUCCCCUGCCAGGUUCUUUGGGGAAUGCAGGAGAAUGAUCAAAGUUUCAUGGAUCUUGUACCCAGGCUACUUGGUUUGAAAAAGCAGCCUCCUCUGUGAGCCACUGAGCAGGAGGAAAAGCCAGCCCUGGAAGGACUCUGCAGAGAACAGAUCAUGGUGUUUAAUUUGCCAGAGGCAUGUGAGCUUCUCAGCGAGUCCUACAGCCAUGGGAGCUUUGCCUUCCCUUAAAUGAGCCAGGGGCUGUAACCUCGUCAUCGGAAAGGGCAAAGUACAGUCGAAAAUUCACAUUCGUCAUGGAAGGACAGAUGACGUUUUGGUGUUAGGAACACUGGGGGAAGUAGGGUGUUGUUGGUAUGAAGCAAGAUUAUUCUGUGUGUUAUAACAACAGCAACUCUGGAAUUGACAGGGAGACCCAGUGCAGGAGAGAAGGCAGCCAGGCAGCGUCUUUGCUGUUCAGGGAGGUUCUGAGCUGGAAGGGCAAUGGAAUUAGGUGCAGUGGGAGAGCACGAGCUCGGCCCCCAUCUCCUCUCUGUCUUGACCUUUAUGUCUUGGUCUCAGUGGUACCCAUUAGUUCCUUUGCCAGUGCCCCUUUUGACUGAAGAGCCUGCUGCCUUUCACUUUCAGUAAGUCUCUUUGCCGAAAUGUGCUGAUUAACUCACCCUGUCUUCUGGUGUAUUGGGCAGGUCUACCCAAAGGAGGGAUUGAGAUAAGGUUCUGGAUAUGUCAAAGUCAAUGGGAGGUUCAGUGAUCAUUCGUAAAUUGUCAGGCCCUGUGCUGUGUUGUAUGUUACAAAAACAAACAAACUCAACAGAAGAUUUCACUCCUGCACCCACAUGUAAUGUAAUAAUUAAUAUGUGUUCAGGGCAACUAAAAAUCAAGUUGAUAGCUGCCGAUAAAUAUGCAAACAUGUGAUGUCAGCUAUGUUUUUUGUCAGUUCCUUUUUGUGGUAUUUUAACAACAUUUUACCUUUUAUCUGCACAUAUUGUCUAUACCACAAGGUCCCCUGAAAAGUGGGGCAGGUGUUUGAGUCAUAAAAGAUAAAUAUAUCCUGAAAUGACUAUUGUUUCGAGUCUGUGAAUCAUUUCAAAGGACAUUUGCCAUGCAAAUAGAUGAUGUAACUCUAUGUGUUUUCAAUAACACAUCUGCAAGUUAAGUCGUGUGAUUCCCUGGAUGAUAUUAAGUCUGCAAAUAGACUGCCACUCACAAACAAUAUUGUAAGUGAGAUCUGUAGAGUCCCUGUUCUAGAAUAAGGACAUUGACCUGUGUUUUCAGCUAAAGCAAUGUUCACUCCCUUAAGGGAACAUACCUGAUUUUAUUUUGUUAAAAAUUUUAUUACUGCAAAUUUCCUGUAUGUAAAAUGCACUAGUGAAAAUUCUUUUGGUAUACUAGCAGCCUGCAUUGCACAAAACCGAUAAAAAAUAGAUUAAAAAUUAAACAUUUAUGACCCAAGGAACUGCUGAAUAGACUAUGUUGGGAAGAACAUCUGUAACCAUAAAACUCAGACUCUUGAAAUUUGAAUUUGCCUGUUGUGCUUAUUUAAUUACUGUGCAGAGUUACUUGUUGGGUCCAGAUAGGGCAAUGACUGGGCUGUAAAAAAUAUUAUUCCCUCAAGGAUUGUCUUGUGCAAAUUCUAGAGGGGAAAAUUAUCUUUCCAAUACCCAAGUGUGACUUCCAUUACCAUUAAAUGGAGCCAUGUGUACCGUGUGAGGGUAUAAUGGACCCCGGAGUAGAGAGAUAAAACUGUAAUACCAACUCCCUAUAGCACAUCAGCAAUAUUAUUUAACUUGAAGCUUUUUAACCUGUGAGAAAAGAAUAAACCUUGUUCUUAAUUAAAUGAAUAAUGCAGCUUGUAGAUACGUUCAAUAAUGCACGUAGAUUCACAGCUUGACAGUAAGCUUGGUCCCCUCUCUCCUGUCCUCAUCCCGUCCACCCGGAUUACAAUCAUCUCCAGUGAGAAACCCUGCUGUGGUCACUUUUGUGUCCUCAACAGUGUCUAGCAUAGUAAGAAACAGAUUGUAAGAUUUAGCAAGAUACAUGCUUACAAAAAUGAGCGGUGGGAAAAUAACUACUUGGUUUUUGUUUAAUUCUAUUUAUAGAUUGACUAUUUCAUUUCUGAGUAGCAAAUUUAACAUAUUUAAGGUUAGAAUCUACUAAGUUUGCUAAAGUUCUUAAUAAGAAAAAAUGCAAGUCAUCCAUAUAUGAGUUUCCGAAUGGUGGCGUUGAGUGGGUCUCUGGUCUCAGGAGGAAAAAGAAACGAUGAUGAUCUUACUGAAGAAUAAGAAACAGUGAGCCGGGAAGGCAGGUUUUAGUUCUAAUUCCCACAACAAAUAUUUGUGUUAUCUCAAAUCCUCUUGAUCAUAAUUUAUUAUUGUAAUAAAUUAUGUAUUACAGAUAAUUAUAAAAAUACAUAAUUUAUUAAUUUAAUAAAUAAAUCAUAAUUUAUUAUUAGUUCUAUUGG